rnacentral:rRNA from 1 species
UACGGAGGGGGUUAGCGUUGUUCGGAAUGACUGGGCGUAAAGCGCGCGUAGGCGGAUCAUCAAGUCGGGGGUGAAAUCCCGGGGCUCAACCCCGGAAUGGCCUUCGAGACUGGUGGUCUUGAGUUCGAGAGAGGUGAGUGGAAUUCCGAGUGUAGAGGUGUAAUGCGUAGAUAUUCGGAGGAACACCAGUGGCGAAGGCGGCUCACUGGCUCGACACUGACGCUGAGGUGCGAAAGCGUGGGGAGCAAACAGG